rnacentral:rRNA from 1 species
UAUCAAUAAGCGGAGGAAAAGAAACCAACAGGGAUUGCCCCAGUAACGGCGAGUGAAGCGGCAACAGCUCAAAUUUGAAAUCUGGCCCUUCCGGUCCGAGUUGUAAUUUGCAGAGGAUGCUUUUGGCGAGGUGCCUUCCGAGUUCCCUGGAACGGGACGCCAUAGAGGGUGAGAGCCCCGUCUGGUCGGACACCGAGCCUCUGUAAAGCUCCUUCGACGAGUCGAGUAGUUUGGGAAUGCUGCUCAAAAUGGGAGGUAUAUGUCUUCUAAAGCUAAAUAUUGGCCAGAGACCGAUAGCGCACAAGUAGAGUGAUCGAAAGAUGAAAAGCACUUUGAAAAGAGGGUUAAAAAGUACGUGAAAUUGUUGAAAGGGAAGCGCCUAUGACCAGACUUGGGCCCGGUGAAUCACCCAGCGUUCUCGCUGGGGCACUUUGCCGGGCACAGGCCAGCAUCAGUUUGGCGCGGGGGAGAAAGGCUUCGGGAAUGUGGCUCCCUCGGGAGUGUUAUAGCCCGCUGCGUAAUACCCUGCGCCGGACUGAGGUACGCGCAUUGCAAGGAUGCUGGCGUAAUGGUCAUCAGCGACCCGUCUUGAAACACGGACCAAGGAGUCGUCUUCGUAUGCGAGUGUUCGGGUGUCAAACCCCUACGCGUAAUGAAAGUGAACGCAGGUGAGAGCUUCGGCGCAUCAUCGACCGAUCCUGAUGUUCUCGGAUGGAUUUGAGUAAGAGCAUACGGGGCCGGACCCGAAAGAAGGUGAACUAUGCCUGUAUAGGGUGAAGCCAGAGGAAACUCUGGUGGAGGCUCGCAGCGGUUCUGACGUGCGAAUCGAUCGUCAAAUA